AUAUCACCUCAUUGCUAUUACAAAAACAGACAGAUUAAUUCAACCGCUCAGACAGUCCAGGAACAUGCACACAAUCUCAUACCAAAUUCCAUCCUGCCGAACACAAAUAAGACAACAAUCAUUUUUCCCACGCACAAUUAAAAUCUGGAACAGCCUUCUCCUGAGUAUUGUGAUGAGCGACUCCAUAAAGUCGUUCAAAGUAGCCGUCUCAAACUACACCUACAGCCCGUAAAUUCAUCAUGUGUAAAUAGUUUUAUCUUAAUAUUUAAAAAUAAUAAAUUAAAAAUAUGCACUACCACUAUGUAAAUUUUUGUUUUGUUUUUUGUUUACUAUCACAAAUUUGUUAUAUUUCAC
rnacentral:lncRNA from 1 species